rnacentral:rRNA from 1 species
GACGAACGCUGGCGGCGUGCCUAAUACAUGCAAGUCGAGCGGACCAUUCCUUCGGGAAUGGUUAGCGGCGGACGGGUGAGUAACACGUAGGCAACCUGCCUGUAAGACUGGGAUAACUACCGGAAACGGUAGCUAAGACCGGAUAACUGGUUUCUUCACCUGAAGAGAUCAUGAAACACGGAGCAAUCUGUGGCUUACAGAUGGGCCUGCGGCGCAUUAGCUAGUUGGUAGGGUAACGGCCUACCAAGGCGACGAUGCGUAGCCGACCUGAGAGGGUGAUCGGCCACACUGGGACUGAGACACGGCCCAGACUCCUACGGGAGGCAGCAGUAGGGAAUCUUCCGCAAUGGACGCAAGUCUGACGGAGCAACGCCGCGUGAGUGAUGAGGGUUUUCGGAUCGUAAAGCUCUGUUGCCAGGGAAGAACGCCCAGGAGAGUAACUGCUCCUGGGGUGACGGUACCUGAGAAGAAAGCCCCGGCUGACUACGUGCCAGCCGCCGCCGUAAUAC